CAGAGCUGCUCCCUGACAGCUAUGUGCACCUGUUUCCAUCACUACCUCUGAACACGCAGCCAUACCCCAUCUCAAGCAUGUUAUGUUCACACUAUAACAGGUGCAGGCCUAGCAUGGUCAACUCCACUCUGGAAAUGCAAUAAGUGAGUUUUAGGCAAUAAAGGACUCUGGGCUUCAGUGGGGCAGAAGCUUCCUAGAGCAGGGACUCAAGCCCCCUUCUCCAUAAACCAGCCCCUUUCCAUUCACAUUCUUCUGCAAACAUUCCCUCCUUUCAGAUCAGGCAACCACACUCACAGGCAGAAAUCCUGGAACUCUCUGCAGGCAGCUCCUCUAAAUCUGCUUCACGUUCAUAGACCAGAAACCAGUGGCCCUGACAGUGCAGCUGAGGAAGGAUGGAAAGCUACAGGACUCCCUCAAGGUUAAUGACACAUGGCAGACUAAGCACCUGGAAUGCAGGGGUGAGCAACGCAAUCAGUGACUGCUGUCCUCAAAGAGACAACCGAGGAAGCUCCCUAGGGUCUCCAAGCAAGCUUAUGCCACAUUCUCAUCUGAAGUCACAAUAGUCCUGGGGAGUCUGGAUUGGUGCCUGUCCUGUCCACAUGAGGAAGGAUGAGGCACAGAGACACAGAACCUCUUACUGCGAUGCUGGGUGGUAACCAAAUCAGAAAACCAGGACCCCUGACCCUGAGUGCAUCUCUGAGCAGAAGCAAGGACAAUCCCAGAUUCUUCCAUACAUGCAGAGGAAGAGAGCUAUGGGGUGAAAACAAAGCCGUGACUGCAAAGCCAAGCUGUAGCUCUCUGCACUGUGGCAGAGAAACGCAAUGCGUCUCCAGGGGAGAUACACGGGCCUGAGGUUUUAUCGAUCAUUUCUCAGAAAGGAGGCCAGUGCUACUGGAGAGGUAUUGAGGUAUUGAUGUAUGUUUCUCUCUCUCUCUCUCUCUCUCUCUCUCUCUCUCUCUCUCUCUCUCUCUCUCUCUCUCUGUGUGUGUGUGUGUGUG
rnacentral:lncRNA from 1 species